CCUACGGGUGGCAGCAGUAGGGAAUAUUCCACAAUGGGCGAAAGCCUGAUGCAGCAACGCCGCGUGGGUGAAGAAGGUCUUCGGAGCGUAAAACCCUGUUGUUAGAGAAGAAAGUACGUGAGAGUAACUGUUCACGUUUCGACGGUAUCUAACCGGAAAGCCACGGCUAACUCCGUGCGAGCAGCCGCGGUAAUACGUCGGUGGCAAGCGUUAUCCGGAUUUAUUGGUCGUAAAGGGAACGCAGGCGGUCUGUUAGGUCUGAUGUGAAAGCCUUCGGCUUAACCGGAGUAGUGCAUUGGAAACUGGGAGUCUUGAGUGCAGAAGAGGAGAGUGGAACUCGAGGUGUAGCGGUGAAAUGCGUAGAUAUAUGGAAGAACACCAGUGGCGAAGGCGGCUCUCUGGACUGUAACUGACGCUGAGGUUCGAAAGUGUGGGUAUCGAACAGGAUUAGAUACCCGGGUAGUC
rnacentral:rRNA from 1 species